rnacentral:Y_RNA from 1 species
GGCUAGUCUGAUGGUAGUGGGUUAUCAGAACUUAUUAACAUUAGUGUCACUGAACUUGGUAUUCAACCCCCAUUGCUAAAUUUGACUGGAUAAAA